CUUGACUGUAGCCUGGAAUUGGGUUUGGGCUCUUCUUGCGCAGCCUAGGUGGGAGGCGUUGAAAGUUCCCUUCCGGGGGUUCUUGAGCCAUCAGUGAGAGACCACUCUGGAAGAGCUAGAAUUCUAAUGGCGAUCCUUGAAUCAGGACGCUUGACAGUUUCAGGCGGGCAGUUUGACUGGGGCGGUCGCCUCCUAAAAGGUAACGGAGGCGUGCAAAGGUUCCCUCAGGCUGGACGGAAAUCAGCCGUAGAGUGUAAAGGCAGAAGGGAGCUUGACUGCAAGACCUACAAGUCGAGCAGGGGCGAAAGCCGGCCUUAGUGAUCCGACGGUACCGUGUGGAAGGGCCGUCGCUCAACGGAUAAAAGUUA
rnacentral:rRNA from 1 species